rnacentral:rRNA from 1 species
UACGAAGGGGGCUAGCGUUGCUCGGAUUGACUGGGCGUAAAGGGCGUGUAGGCGGGAAGGAAAGUCAGAUGUGAAAUCCCUGGGCUCAACCCAGGAACUGCAUUUGAAACUCCCUUUCUUGAGUGUCGGAGAGGAAAGCGGAAUUCCUGGUGUAGAGGUGAAAUUCGUAGAUAUCAGGAGGAACACCGGUGGCGAAGGCGGCUUUCUGGACGACAACUGACGCUGAGACGCGAAAGCGUGGGGAGCAAACAGG